rnacentral:rRNA from 1 species
GACGAACCGAGCGAACGUUAUUCGGAAUCACUGGGCUUAAAGGGCGCGUAGGCGGGCCGUCAAGUCGAGGGUGAAAUCCCCCAGCUCAACUGGGGAAGUGCCUCCGAUACUGGCGGUCUCGAGGGAGGUAGGGGCGUGCGGAACUAACGGUGGAGCGGUGAAAUGCGUUGAUAUCGUUAGGAACUCCGGUGGCGAAGGCGGCACGCUGGACCUCUUCUGACGCUGAGGCACGAAAGCCAGGGGAGCGAACGGG